rnacentral:misc_RNA from 1 species
ACCAACAGAUAAACAGAACUUGUAGGCACUGAUCACACUAAGACAGAUCUGGAAGACAGACACUUUUAGAAAUUCAUUGCCACAAAUGUUAACAAAGAUUGUAAACAUAUAAAACCAUUGAAUUGACUAGGAAGAGAGCUGGUAUAACAGAUAUUCUUCCUUAUAAUGAGUAGGACUAGUUAUUUUGGGAAAUGAUGAAACAUGUAGUUGGUCCACUGAGUGCGUUGACUGUUUUAAUGUGGUGUAACUGGUGCUCCUCUCUCAGCAUUGGACAGAAUGAGUGACUGCAGUCACUAUUGUUCUUGUUUCUGGUCUUAUGUUAAGAUUUAGAAUGUUAAAAUAAGUCUGAAUGUAUGCCUAUUUCCAAAUGAAUAUUUUUGUUUUCAAUGGCCAGCUUAACCAACCAAACAACAACCAAUAUGUCUGUGGACAGACUGUUGUGUGUACUUAGUGUGGCAGGGGAUGGAAGGUUGUUAGUACAUAUAGUACUGUUGUUCAUAAAGACCCCCUUUUCAUCAAUAUUUAUCAUUAUCUACAUUUUGAAAUCACUGGUGAAUUCUAUUUUUUGUGCAGUUUGUACAUACUUUUCUUUCAUUUGGAAUGUGCAUUUAAUUAAAAUGAAUAAUAAAUUAUGAUUUUUU